AACGAACGCUGGCGGCAGGCUUAACACAUGCAAGUCGAACGCCCCGCAAGGGGAGUGGCAGACGGGUGGGUAACGCGUGGGAACGUACCCUUUACUACGGAAUAACUCAGGGAAACUUGUGCUAAUACCGUAUGUGCCCUUCGGGGGAAAGAUUUAUCGGUAAAGGAUCGGCCCGCGUUGGAUUAGCUAGUUGGUGGGGUAAAGGCCUACCAAGGCGACGAUCCAUAGCUGGUCUGAGAGGAUGAUCAGCCACAUUGGGACUGAGACACGGCCCAAACUCCUACGGGAGGCAGCAGUGGGGAAUAUUGGACAAUGGGCGCAAGCCUGAUCCAGCCAUGCCGCGUGAGUGAUGAAGGCCCUAGGGUUGUAAAGCUCUUUCACCGGUGAAGAUAAUGACGGUAACCGGAGAAGAAGCCCCGGCUAACUUCGUGCCAGCCGCCGCUGUAAGAC
rnacentral:rRNA from 1 species